rnacentral:rRNA from 1 species
UACGAAGGGGGCUAGCGUUGUUCGGAAUUACUGGGCGUAAAGCGUAUGCAGGCGGAUCGUUAAGUCGGGGGUGAAAUCCCGAGGCUCAACCUCGGAACUGCCUUCGAUACUGGCGAUCUUCGAGUCCGGGAGAGGUGAGUGGAACUCCGAGUGUAGAGGUGAAAUUCGUAGAUAUUCGGAAGAACACCUGAGGCGAAGGCGGCUUGCUGGGCAUGAUCUGACGCUGAGGCGCGAAAGCGUGGGGAGCAAACAGG